AUUGAACGCUGGCGGCAGGCCUAACACAUGCAAGUCGAGCGCGCGGCGGGCGGGUGAGUGAUGUCUGGGGAACUGCCUGAUGGAGGGGGAUAACUACUGGAAACGGUAGCUCAUACCGCAUACCCUCUGAUGUGCCCCGAUGGGGUUAGCUAGUAGGUGGGGUAAAGGCUCACCUAGGCGACGAUCCCUAGCUGGUCUGAGAGGAUGACCAGCCACACUGGAACUGAGACACGGUCCAGACUCCUACGGGAGGCAGCAGUGGGGAAUAUUGCACAAUGGGCGCAAGCCUGAUGCAGCCAUGCCGCGUGUGUGAAGAAGGCCUUCGGGUUGUAAAGUACUUUCAGCGGGGAGGCGUUACCCGCAGAAGAAGCACCGGCUAACUCCGUGCCAGCAGCCGCGGUAAUAC
rnacentral:rRNA from 1 species